rnacentral:lncRNA from 1 species
AUUUUUAGUUUUUAUAAGACUAUGGAGCCUUACUUCUUUUGAAAUUUUUUUGUCUUGGGUUAGUGGUAUCCAUAGAGGUAACCAUAACUCAAGUUGUGAAUUGCCACAUGUUGAAAGUUAUAAGUUUUGAAAAGAUGGAAUGACAAAUUCUUUGAAAGAAAAGUUAAAUUUAUAACAUUCAAUGAUAAAUGGAAAAAAAGUGAAAGGAUAGAACACCUCCCCUUAAGAGUUUUGGUUCUAUUGGGAUCGUAGGAGGAGAUUUUGCUUUUAGUUGCUCUUUCUUCUCUUCUUCCAUUUCUUUCCUUUCAAGUUCCUCCUUUUCUCUCUUUUCUUUUUCUUCUCUUCUUAUACUCUCUUCCUCUCCUCUUCAUUCUUUCUCUUAUUUUCUCUCUUUCUCUCUUAUUUUCUUUUCUUCUCUUAUGUUUCUUUUGUCUUCUCUUCUCUCUUGUUCUCUUCUUUCUUCAGCUAUUCUCUCCCUUUCUGCUUUUUCGUCUUCUUUUAUCUCUUUCUCUCUUCUUUCUUGCUCUCUUUUUCUUCUCUCUCUUUCAUCCCCUUCUUUUCUCUCUUCUUCUCUUUUUUCUCUCCCUGUUGAGUUACAUUUGUUCUUGAUCCUCAGCCACUUGUGAUGAUGAGAGAGGAUGAAGUACAAAUUUCUUCUUAUAAUGGUACACAACUAUUGUAUUGGUAAGACCAUUAUGAAUUGUUUUAUGGUUAAAUUGUCAUGGUCUUCCUAAUAACACAUGACAAGUUUCCAUUGGAACUACAUCACAUAAAACUUCAUUUUUAAAGUUUCCCAUGGAAAUUGUUACUGUGACUUGAUUCUUGCCUGUAAUAUUCCCAUCUUUAUUGGUCAAUGAAUUUUGUAAGGUCUGGGAUGGGGUUUUCCAGCAAGAUUCAAUUUUCAACCAACAUAGUGCUACAAUAAUUGAAACACGAACCACUACCAAUAAUGAGGGAACAAGUUUUAUUUUGAAUUCGACAUCUUGUAUGAAAUAAAGUUUCUCUUUGUGAUAAAUGUC